rnacentral:lncRNA from 1 species
ACCUCUCCAAACACAGAAAGCUCAAGGGAACAGCUGGUAAGGACUCCCUGCCCUAAUGAGUCAACUCUAAGUCGACAAGUACCCUUACAAAGAGGGCAAAACCCAGCACUGAGUUUAUGAUCCUAGCCGUUAUCCAACAGCAUUGUCUCUAAUCCUCUGGAAGACAGGAGUUCACUACCUACUUCGAAGAGAUGAGAAAAUGAAGUCAAGAAAGGCUAAGUACCUUAGUUAUGGUUACUAUUGCUGUGCUAACACAAUGACCAAAAGUAACUUGAGGAGGAAAGGGUUUAUUUGGCUUACACUGUCCAUCAUCAAAGGAAGUCAGGGCAGGAACUCAAGCAGGGCCGGAACCUGAAGGCAGGAACUGAUUCAGAGGUCAUGGAGGGGUGCUGCUUACUGGAUUGCUCCUCAUGGCUUGCUCAGCCUGCUUUUUUUUAUAGAACCCAGGACUACCAGCCCAGGGAUGGAAACACCUACAAUGGAUUGGGCUCUCCCCUACUGAUCACAAAUUAAGAAAAUGCCCUAUAGGCUUACUACAACUUUAUCUUAUAGAGGAGGCUGUUCUUUAGACAGAAACUGGAACUGAAUCUCAGGAUCUACCGUUAGCCUGUUUCUGCUGCUGCAGAAGUUUCCAAGCCGUGUAAUUAUGAAAUAGAGAGACAGCGUUCUCACGCUCCAGAGGUAGGACUGUCCAAGACCCAGGCACCAGUACAUAAGGCCUUCUUCCUUCAUCAUAGCAUGGCAGAGGGCCCAUCACAUAGCAACAGAAAAAUUGUAAUAACACUGUUGUCCUUAUAUGAUCACCAUUGGAGGUGGUGUCUCACUAAUAAGAUUUAAUUUAACCCUGACUACCCCACCAAUGUCUUCCUCCAAGCAGAAUCAACAUAUGACAUGAACACAUGACUUGUGUGGGAUUUUCUUUUUCUUUCUUUUUGUCCAGAGGAGGUCUCACUGGGCCACCCAGGCUGGUAUUGAACUCCUGAUCUUCCUGUCUCAGCCUCCAAAGGGCUGAGAUUACAGGAUGUGUCAUCAUUUCUGCCCGCAACAUAUGAACUUGGAAGAGAUACAUGUGAUAUGGAACCCACACUCUCUCAGUGAUGUUCUAAGUUGUGACUGUAGCAGCCCCCAACUGGGAGCAGAACUCAGUGCAGGCUGAUCACCUGUGAGCAGAGCCUCACUUAAUCCAAUAACGCCCAAGACCAAGUUAAUACUCCCUGACGUUCAUGACCUGUCAGUCAGUACUGAGCCCACACAAUUAGCCAGCCAUGAUGAACAAUUUCUUAAAGGAACUGUGCUAGUAGUUUUACAUAACCCAGCCAAGUCAUUCUUCUAGUCUUACAUGGUGAGUUUCUGGAUCCUAAUUUGCUAAAACUGUAUUUCGUAUGACGUCUGCUAAAAUGGUUUAUUCUUACUGUCUUCGCAACCGUUAUUUCUAUUGUCUUCUGACCAUGACCUAGAUAUGUUUCAAGGGCUUCGUUAUAGGAUUAAAAUCUCUUCCCCUCAUGUUCUCCCAUUUGUCUCUCACACAUGAAUGUGCACCUAGGCACACACUUGCCAAAGGGAACCUCUACAUAGAGGAAUCUGAGGGCUGCUUCUCUUCCCACUCCACUCUUUAGGCACUGCCUGUGCUUGGAGUGGAGACUCUGAGGAUAUAGAAGGCCUGGCUAUUGGACCAGGGCAGGGAAAAUCCCUGUUGUCCUCUCCAGGUAUCUCCUGCUCUCUGAAGGGUGACAGUGUCCUGCAGUGGUGAAGAGGCAGCCAGCCCUGUUCUGAAUUAGUCCUGACUCAGAGCUGCGUGUGGUCCCCUGCUACAUCCUGUUAUGAAGGAUGCUGGUCUCUGUUUCCAUGAGCCUGCUCUCAUUCCCUGUAUUUCCUGUAUCUGACAGGGAAGAAAGUCGGAUACAGGAAAUAGCUCUGGGGUUGAGAGAAUCACCUGGCUUUUGCCUCUUUCUGGUGUGAUGGCUUCUCGGGGCCUCUGUCAGGCCCAUAGGAGUACUAUGUGGUAGUGAGGACCCACCAGCCUGUGAAGCAGCCAUCAUGGUCAAUGCCAGAGAUCAAAGGAAGAGGUCAUUUUGGUGGCAUUAAAAAUGAAUACAGUGGUUAUUUCAAAACUCUUUUGCUGGAGUUAAGAAGCAAAAAUGUUGGAUUUUACCUAGCCUUCCUCCUUUAUGCUAAUUCCCUAGUCCAGUGGCUUUUGCUGGCUAUUGACUGUAGCCCAGAGACAUUUUAUUUUCCAUACAAGGUUUGCAUGCUUAGAGUAAAACAUGCAACUGAAAGGGGCCAGGGAAAUGGGUAUUUGCAUAAGCUCUAUGUUCUAUUGGAUUCAAUUUCAUUUCUUUAAUACUUUUGGCUAUUGCUCAUUUACUGAGCUCAGUGAUCCACUACUGGCAGGUAGCACCCA